UACGUAGGGUGCGAGCGUUGUCCGGAAUUAUUGGGCGUAAAGAGCUCGUAGGCGGUGUGUCACGUCGGCCGUGAAAACCUGCAGCUUAACUGUGGGCGUGCGGUCGAUACGGGCAUCACUGGAGUUCGGCAGGGGGAGACUGGAAUUCCUGGUGUAGCGGUGAAAUGCGCAGAUAUCAGGAGGAACACCGGUGGCGAAGGCGGCUCACUGGACCGGUACUGACGCUGAUGCGCGAAAGCGUGGGGAGCAAACGGG
rnacentral:rRNA from 1 species